rnacentral:rRNA from 1 species
CCUACGGGAGGCAGCAGUAGGGAAUUUUCGGCAAUGGGGGGAACCCUGACCGAGCAACGCCGCGUGAACGAAGAAGUUAUUCGUAAUGUAAAGUUCUUUUAACAGGUGAGAAAGAGAAAUUUGACGGUACCUGAAGAAUAAGCUCCGGCUAACUACGUGCCAGCAGCCGCGGUAAUACGUAGGGAGCGAGCGGUAUCCGGAAUUAUUGGGCGAAAAGGGUGCGUAGAUGGCAUAGUAAGUCUUUUGUAAAAAUGCUGGGCUCAACCCAGUAGGGCAAAAGAUACUGCAAAGCUAGAGUAUGACAGAGGCAAGUGGAACUACAUGUGUAGCGGUAAAAUGCGUAAAUAUAUGUAAGAACACCAGUGGCGAAGGCGGCUUGCUGGGUCGAUACUGACAUUGAGGCACGAAAGCGUGGGGAGCAAACAGGAGUAGAUACCCCGGUAGUC